UACGGAGGAUCCAAGCGUUAUCCGGAAUUACUGGGCGUAAAGAGUUGCGUAGGUGGCAAAGUAAGUGGAUAGUGAAAGCGUGCGGCUCAACCGCAUACACAUUAUCUAAACUGCUUAGCUAGAGGACGAGAGAGGCAUCUGGAAUUCCUAGUGUAGGAGUGAAAUCCGUAGAUAUUAGGAGGAACACCGAUGGCGUAGGCAGGGUGCUGGCUCGUUCCUGACACUAAGGCACGAAAGCGUGGGGAGCAAACGGGAUUAGAAACCCCGGGUAGUCC
rnacentral:rRNA from 1 species